CGUGUGUAAAUACAGCCGUUUCGUAUAAGCCAAGAAUGGGCUUGGCGUUUCUACUAGGCACCGAAAUGCCUAUCUACAAGGCGGGAACAUGUCUCA
rnacentral:ncRNA from 2 species